GAUGAACGCUAGCUACAGGCUUAACACAUGCAAGUCGAGGGGAAACGACAGAGAAAGCUUGCUUUUUCUAGGCGUCGACCGGCGCACGGGUGAGUAACGCGUAUCCAACCUGCCCAUCACUUGGGGAUAACAUUGCGAAAGUAAGACUAAUACCCAAUGAUAUCUCAAGAAGACAUCUGAAUGAGAUUAAAGAUUUAUCGGUGAUGGAUGGGGAUGCGUCUGAUUAGCUUGUUGGCGGGGUAACGGCCCACCAAGGCGACGAUCAGUAGGGGUUCUGAGAGGAAGGUCCCCCACAUUGGAACUGAGACACGGUCCAAACUCCUACGGGAGGCAGCAGUGAGGAAUAUUGGUCAAUGGGCGAGAGCCUGAACCAGCCAAGUAGCGUGCAGGAUGACGGCCCUAUGGGUUGUAAACUGCUUUUAUAAGGGAAUAAAGUGAGCCUCGUGAGGCUUUUUGCAUGUACCUUAUGAAUAAGGACCGGCUAAUUCCGUGCCAGCAGCCGCAGUAA
rnacentral:rRNA from 1 species